UUUAGAUGAGGAGAUGACUGCCCAUAUUGGAGAUUUUGGCCUGGCUAAGAUUGUCUCAUCAAUUUCUGGUGAGGUCCAUCAGUAUCAAAGCAGUUCUACAGCAAUCAAGGGAUCUAUUGGCUAUGUUGCUCCAGAGUAUGGCAUGGGUGACCCAGUUUCUACAGAAGGAGAUGUAUAUAGUUAUGGGAUUUUGUUAUUGGAGAUGUUUACAGGAAAGAAACC
rnacentral:misc_RNA from 1 species